CAUCACAGUUCCCUCCCCUCUGCUCUGGAGGUAAUUGGGAAGUAAUUCAAUUAUCUCCCAGAGUAGAGGCAAAUCGCCAUUUUAACUCACAGUUACAAAACAUUAAAAUACAUAACUUUAUAACUGCCGAACGUAUUGCAUUCGUAUAACACAUCCCCAGAUAGCCUGGAUCGGAGUGCAUAUUAUUGGCAAAUAGCGCUCGGAUCCCAUACGCACAGUUCAAUCGCCAUGGAGUCAAAGUCUAUUACAGUUCUUCGGUAUGCGAUUGACUCCAUGGGAAGGCUAUCUGGGGUAAGUCCAUUCGUGUUGUUAAAUCUCCCGAACAGCCGGUAUUCGUAUGCUUUUGUUGAUUGAGAAGGGGAGGUCGACGGCUUCAGCGGUGUUCGGUUGAAAAAGUGUCCGUUUUGAGUUCUAUGAAAUAAUCGAACACCGCUGGGCUUUCGCAUAGUCAAAAUGGACGCCACCUCGUGGUCGACAUACGAACGACGACCACUCGGUAUUCGGUUUUAAUUGAGAAGUGUCUGUGGUUAACCGCAACGUUCUAAUUGGGAUCAAUAGGUUAACCAGCAGCACACUUCUCUUCUGGGUGGCCGUCCGUUCGGUAGUUCCGUUCGACAAAAAAAAAUACAUUCCCUUAAACAAGGCAUACGAAUGGGGAAAUUCAUGCAAACUGCAAAACAGACGAACACUGUACUUUUAGUCCAUAUGGAUGGGUCUGUCACAAAUUCCCUCUAUAAUUGUCCGUUUUGUCUGAAAUGUGUAGAGGGGAACGAUUCAGUCGCAAUGGGACACUGUCAAUAAAGUUGAAACAGUAAUAUGAACGCUGAAGUGCGUUCCAAGACUGGCACAACUGCAUUACACGAGUUUCAGCCACAACGGAAAUUAAAAUCAAGAUCGGGAGUCAGCAAUUUCCAAUUACCGACAGCAUAUAAAGAAACUACUGAUCCUGAAAGGAGAUGAGUAACUGAGUAAGCCUCUGUAGUAGGUUUAGCUCGUAUUGCUAUUCAUGUGAACACUACUGUAAGAUUUUUAAUUGUAUUUACAUUAAAUGUUUAUGUUUU